UACGAAGGGGGCUAGCGUUGCUCGGAAUCACUGGGCGUAAAGGGUGCGUAGGCGGGUUUUUAAGUCAGGGGUGAAAUCCUGGAGCUCAACUCCAGAACUGCCUUUGAUACUGAAGAUCUUGAGUUCGGGAGAGGUGAGUGGAACUGCGAGUGUAGAGGUGAAAUUCGUAGAUAUUCGCAAGAACACCAGAGGCGAAGGCGGCUCACUGGCCCGAUACUGACGCUGAGGCACGAAAGCGUGGGGAGCAAACAGG
rnacentral:rRNA from 1 species